rnacentral:rRNA from 1 species
UGUUUGAUGUUCUAACGUGGACCCGUGAUCCGGGUUGCGGACAGUGUCUGGUGGGUAGUUUGACUGGGGCGGUCUCCUCCUAAAGAGUAACGGAGGAGCACGAAGGUUGGCUAAUCCUGGUCGGACAUCAGGAGGUUAGUGCAAUGGCAUAAGCCAGCUUGACUGCGAGCGUGACGGCGCGAGCAGGUGCGAAAGCAGGUCAUAGUGAUCCGGUGGUUCUGAAUGGAAGGGCCAUCGCUCAACGGAUAAAAGGUACUCCGGGGAUAACAGGCUGAUACCGCCCAAGAGUUCAUAUCGACGGCGGUGUUUGGCACCUCGAUGUCGGCUCAUCACAUCCUGGGGCUGAAGUAGGUCCCAAGGGUAUGGCUGUUCGCCAUUUAAAGUGGUACGCGAGCUGGGUUUAGAACGUCGUGAGACAGUUCGGUCCCUAUCUGCCGUGGGCGCUGGAGAACUGAGGGGGGCUGCUCCUAGUACGAGAGGACCGGAGUGGACGCAUCACUGGUGUUCGGGUUGUCAUGCCAAUGGCACUGCCCGGUAGCUAAAUGCGGAAGAGAUAAGUGCUGAAAGCAUCUAAGCACGAAACUUGCCCCGAGAUGAGUUCUCCCUGAGACUUAGAGUCUCCUGAAGGA